UUUCUUCUCUCUCUCUCUCUCUCUCUCCUUGAAAGUGGUUUACGUUUAAAAAUUGAUGACUAAUUUGGUACUUUCAGGGUAAUUUCUGAAUUGAUCUCUUUCUCAUCCGUUACUAUCCCCUUCUUUACCCUAACUUGCUGUCCAUCCCCGCCACCACUCAUCGAUGCUGACCACCACAACACUCAUCAAUGCAACCACCAGUAAAACCCAUUCCAAUCGGAUUACCGAGGAGAAAAAUCCUGAAUAUCUGAUUCCAAAAAAGGGGUAUAAAUGUCUCAAUUUUGUAUUAUGAAAGAGAUGCUUGCUGGUCGGCCUCAACGGACCAUUACAUAUAUUACAUGCAACUUCAUUAUCAUGUCUAUCCAAUUUUAUUAUCAGUACAAAUAAGGUUGGAAGAUCCUUGCAAUAAUGGAACAAUAUAGAGUUACUGAUUAAUCGUGUUAAUGAGAGCAGCACAGUUGACACAUAAUUGUUUAUAAGGUUGUUGCAGGUAUUGCCUUACAUCAUCAUCUAGCCUUUGGUAUUGAAGUUGUUGGUUUGUAUCAAGGUCCCUCAUCAGUGGUUUCUGAUGUGGGGUUCGAAAGAAAUUUGAUUAUGUAUGGGUGUGAAUCUGCUCCUUUAUAGGCACGACUACUUUCUAUUGGAAGAGGUAAACCUGAAUUUCUUUCCUCUUCCAACCCUUCUCACUUUCUCAUUCGAUCAAUUUAAUUAUAAAUUUCUUACUUUGUUUAUUUGUUUUUUGUUUUUUUUUUUUUAAUUUCAGUUUUUUUGUGUUUUUUCUCCUGAUAUGCACAUUUUGCUAUAAAGUAAUCUGCAAAUAAAGAUUUGAAAUCUGGGUAUAAUUGUAUAAGUUUUGUAAUCUUUAUGUAUUUUUUUAUCCACUCAUUACUUGAAAACCAAGAAUACAUCUCUGAAAAUUAUUUACUUUGUGUGCUUUUGGAAUGGAUCUAAUUAAGUUUGAGCAGGAAAAUUGACAGUUCUGCAUGUUUUUUCAUAUUGUUGUAGUGGUGUUUAUGAGAACUUUUUGAUAAUAUUUGGAGAGGUACGUACUUUUACUUUAUUAUAUUCAUAUAUACUAUAACAAUAUAUUUAAUAUUAGAAAUGGCCCAUUUGUAGGUUAUAGACAAUUUUAAAAAAUUCAUCAUACGUUUGUGAAUUGGAUAAGUUACCUGUUAUGCGAUAAUGAUCAUAAGAGGAUCCGAUGAUUUGGUGGGAAGGCAUGCUAUAUGGUAAAUAUAUUACUGUAAAAAUUUAUUUUUCUUAGUUAUGUUUCCUAUAGAAAGUAAAUAUAUUUUGAAGAGACUAUAGAUAUGUUAUAUCCGUUUCUUACGCUUUGAUAUAAUGGUGUUUCUAUAUUUUUUUUGUAUCUCCUGCACCUAGAAAAGAGAUUUCACUCCUUGGUGUAAUAAUUAUUUAUAUUGAUAGUUGGAUGUUUUAAGAUUCAACUUUGAAGAGAGAGACCAACCUCACACUCUAACACUCUAGGCUGGUCAAAUGUUUCCAAUGUUCAAAUUAAGGGUAAAGACGAUGGUGACUACAUAGAUAAGGAAGCCUUUUUAAAGACGAAACAAUGGUGAUAAUUUUGCAAAUUUCUGGUUUAUGAAUGGAUGAGAAGUAGUGAAUCAAAAUAGUUUGAAUAUGGGGAUACGUCUGGUGGGUGUAACAGGGGUGUGAUAAGGUAAAUUUUAUGUUGUUUAUAUAUUUAGUAGCAAUGAAAUAGUAGUACACUACAAAUUAAUUUUUUUUUUCAAAUAUAAGUAACAAGAAAAGUUUUUAUGUUGGAGGAUGUGGGCUGGCAUGAUGCUCUUGCAAUUCCAUCAAAGAUGAUCAAAAUCAGAUUCUAUGAUCUUACUAAAAAAUAAAAUGGUGUCAAAUACAACAUCAUCAUAAUAGACUCGAUAGAUUGUCAUAAGAUACAUUGACAAUGUUAGCAAUUUAUUACAGUAAAGGAAAGCCAACUUAUAUGUAUUUUUGUGUGGCAAAAGGUUUGAUGAUUUUUAUAGGAAAAAGGAUUAAAUGAAUGUUCAAAGGAACACAUACAUGAAUAUUUGGCAUGGUGAUUGAUUAAAAUUAUCAAAAUUGAAAUCAGCUCUUACUUUU